rnacentral:rRNA from 1 species
AGAGUUUGAUCAUGGCUCAGGAUGAACGCUGGCGGUAUGCUUAACACAUGCAAGUCGAACGGUACCUUCGGGUAUAGUGGCGGACGGGUGAGUAACGCGUGAGAAUCUGUCUUCAGGUCGGGGACAACAGUUAGAAAUGACUGCUAAUACCGGAUGUGCCGAAAGGUAAAAGAUUUAUUGCCUGAAAGAGAGCUCGCGUCAGAUUAGCUAGUAGGUGGUGUAAGAGACUACCUAGGCUCCGAUCUGUAGCUGGUCUGAGAGGACGAUCAGCCACACUGGAACUGAGACACGGUCCAGACUCCUACGGGAGGCAGCAGUGGGGAAUUUUCCGCAAUGGGCGAAAGCCUGACGGAGCAAUACCGCGUGAGGGACGAAGGCUUUUGGGUCGUAAACCUCUUUUCUCAAGGAAGAUGAUGACGGUACUUGAGGAAUAAGCAUCGGCUAACUCUGUGCCAGCAGCCGCGGUAAUACAGAGGAUGCAAGCGUUAUCCGGAAUGAUUGGGCGUAAAGCGUCCGCAGGUGGUUUAAUAAGUCUGCUGUUAAAGCGUGUGGCUCAACCACAUACAGGCAGUGGAAACUAUUCGACUAGAGUAUGUUAGGGGUAGAGGGAAUUCCCAGUGUAGCGGUGAAAUGCGUAGAGAUUGGGAAGAACACCGGUGGCGAAAGCGCUCUGCUAGGACAAUACUGACACUGAGGGACGAAAGCUAGGGGAGCGAAUGGGAUUAGAUACCCCAGUAGUCCUAGCCGUAAACGAUGAUACUAGCGUGCCCGUAUCGACCCGGGCAUUGUCGUAGCUAACGCGUUAAGUAUCCCGGCCUGGGGGAGUACGCACGCAAGUGUGAAACUCAAAGGAAUUGACGG